UACCAGCACCCCGAGUGGUCGGGACGAUUAUUGGGCCUAAAGCAUCCGUAGCCGGUCCUACAAGUCUUCCGUUAAAUCCACCUGCUUAACAGAUGGGCUGCGGAAGAUACUAUAGGGCUAGGAGGCGGGAGAGGCAAGCGGUACUCAGUGGGUAGGGGUAAAAUCCUCUGAUCCAUUGAAGACCACCAGUGGCGAAGGCGGCUUGCCAGAACGCGCUCGACGGUGAGGGAUGAAGCCCUGGGGCGCAAACCGG
rnacentral:rRNA from 1 species